GCCGUGUCUCCUGUGACAUCGCUAGCUUGCUAGCUUGUAAAUGAAUGGUUCGAAGGAGGGGGACUGCAACAGGGGGAGUACUGCAGCAAUAUGUUUUAACAAAGAUACAAAAAUGCUACAGUACAGCAGAACGGCGCCAGGACGAAAAGGCACGGUCACAGGAGUGAAAUACGAUGAGGAACAGUCGCUCUAAAAGCUGACGAAAAGGCAAGGCAUUCGGCGACAGAGGCACCUCGGACCCUGUGGAUCUCCUCAGCUACGUGUCCGCCGGGCCCCCCACUUCUUGGCCCUGAUGUUGAGGUGUGGUGCACCUGAAUUUGAACACUUCACCUCCGUAAACGGGGAAAGUUGAGAUGAGAGCGGUGCUGCAUGCUGCGCUUCAGAAACUGACAAGAGCGAAGCAAGUUGGGGCUGACCAGUGAUCAUCGUACCGACAGGAAAUUAAAAUACAAGUAAACAUGGAGACAGCAACACCUUUCUGACAAGACUUUCUACAAAAUAUUUGGAAUUUGUGUGCAUUCUUCCAGUUCUUCCACACCAGCCUCAUGUUCAAAUUAUCACACAAUUUUACCAAAUACCUCUUUGAUGAAAAAUCCCAUUUGUUGUUACAUACGUACCACAAAUAAAAAUGUCAACACUGUUCAAAAUUGGUGUUUGCUGAGUGCCUUUGUUGUGUUGUGAUGAUUUGGCGCUAACAUAAGUGGCCCCGGGUGGGUGCAAAAUUGCUCCUCCCGAAUCAGCUCUGUUUGUUUCAUUGUCUUUAUGUGUCAAAGACUCAAAGCCUGGCAUCUAAAAUUACGUACAAUCAUCAUUGUGUCAACAUCAGCAGUCAUCAUCCUCAACUAAAACGACAGCCUUGUCCAUUGAGCUGAUUUUUUAAAGCUCCGUCUGCCGUGUGUGCCUGGUGUUGUGUGUGACAUCUGCACUGCGUUUAUGACCACCAGCAUUGACCCUCAGGAGUCAACUUCAUUUCCAUGAUACGAAUCCUGUUGUUUAUGAUGUUGUUCUUCAUGUAAAAAGCGCGCAACUCAAGAGAUUAAACAAUAAAGUGCCUGUCGGCGGUUCGGUGCUCUUCUGGGUGCUUGGGUGUUUGUUGCCGCCUGUCUUUGUGCUUCACUGGGCGGUUUUCUGCGCCUUUCCCCUAUCUGUCUGCGGGCCUGUCGGGCAGUGGUGGUUCUAGUUAUGGGCCAUAUGGGCCACAUGGGCAAUUGCCCAGGGCCGCAUUCUCUUGGGGGUGCCGCGGGGGGGCACAGAAAAAAAUACCGUAUAUUUGUGUUCAGCACUCAUCAAGUCAGGAUGUGUGGCAGAUGCCCUCAGGUUAAUUGCACCAUAAAAAUAGAAAAAAAAGAAAAAAAAAGUUAAAAAAAAGUAAAUAAUAACAGCAAUUGUUAAAAAAUAAAACAUGCUACAUUCUUCAUAUUUUAUUAUAUUCAUUAUAUCGCAGACCAAGAGUCUCCGACAAAUGUUAUUUCACUACUAAAAUGUGAAACAUAAAAGCGGGAAUUGUGAGGCAAUAUGAGUUGCUUUAGCCUUGACUGCUAGUUGAGUGAUGGUGGGCGGUGACGAUUAAGUGUCGUUAUUUUUCUCAACAAAACAUGGAAAAGAGAAAGUCAGAGCCAUCAGAUACACAAUUUAGAAAGAAGAGAAACGGGGGCCAAAGAUAAAGGUAUGGAGCUAUAUCAUCCCUUUAUGUACACCAUAAUAUGGAAUGUAUAUGAUCAAAUAAGCUAGCAUUACUUGGCAUAACAAUAAACCUGAAAUAAAGUCAAAUAAAAACUAUGCAACAGGAGAAGAGUAUCACACUUUUCCCCGGCAGAGCAAGUGUGUUUAUUAUGUAAGGGCAUCUAGAUCAACAAUUCUAUUUGCGCCAUUGGCAAAAACCCCAAUAAAGUGGCAUAUUUGAUGUGCCCUUGGUUAUAUCCGCAAGGCUCUUCAUGAUGUGUUAUCCUAAUCAUUCUGCUAAAAAAGAAGACAUCAUAAAUACUAUAUGCUGUAUUUGUGAUUUUGCUUCGUGUGUUGGGUAGAACGAUCAUUAAGGCCAGCAGGGGUGCUUGAGAUAAUUAACUAUUACGCCACAUUAUUUAUUUAUCAUAAACUCAUUAAGGACGGUGGCUGUGAAUU